CAAAAGAAGACUGAGACAACUUGUCCUCCUCUGUGUCCCCCUUCUCUUCAGGUGUGCUGUGUGGUGAAGAUGACUUACAGCUUGUCAAGGUCCGCUUGAGUUUCCUGACUUUUUUAGCCUUAGAAACCCUUGUUUCAGGGGCAUGGUCGUCACUGUCUGAUGUUACAGGGACAACCUUGUUGCUAAAAUUGUUUUUAAAUGCCCCCUUAACUCUUCUGAAGAAUUUUUUCUUAUCCUUUUUAGGAGCUCCUUCACUUUCAGUGCACUCUUUUUCAGUCUUGUGGGACCAGGAGGAACUUGAAGAGAGUGUUAUGGAAGACAGAGACCACUUAUCCUCCUCUGUGUCCCCCUUUUCUUCAGGUGUGCUCUGUGGUGAAGAUGACUUACAGCUUUUCAAGUCUCGUGGGACCGGGAGGAACUUGAAGAGAGUGUUAAGGAAGACUGAGACCACUUAUCCUCCUCUGUGUCCCCCUUUUCUUCAGGUGUGCUCUGUGGUGAAGAUGACUUACAGCUUUUCAAGGUCCGUUUGAGUUUCCUGACUUUUUUAGCCUUGGAAACCCUUGUUUCAGGGGCAUGGUCGUCACUGUCUGAUGUUACAGGGACAACCUUGGUGCUAAAACGUUUUUUAAAUGCCCCCGUAACUCUUCUGAAGACCUUUUUCUUGCCCUUUUUCUGAGCUUCUUCACUUUCAGUGCACUCUUUUUCAGUCUCGUGGGACCAGGAGGAACUUGAAGAGAGUGUUAUGGAAGACUGAGACCACUUAUCCUCCUCUGUGUCCCCCUUUUCUUCAGGUGUGCUCUGUGGUGAAGAUGACUUACAGCUUUUCAAGGUCCGUUUGAGUUUCCUGACUUUUUAGCCUUGGAAACCCUUGUUUCAGGGGCAUGGUCGUCACUGUCUGAUGUUACAGGGACAACCUUGGUGCUAAAACGUUUUUUAAAUGCCCCCGUAACUCUUCUGAAGACCUUUUUCUUGCCCUUUUUCUGAGCUUGUUCACUUUCAGUGCACUCUUUUUCAGUCUUGUGGGACAAGGAGGAACUUGAAGAGAGUGUUAUGGAAGACUGAGAACAUGCAUUCACCUCUGUGUCCCCCUUCUCUUCAGGUGUGCUCUGUGGUGAAGAUGACUUACAGCUUGUCAAGGUCCGCUUGAGUUUCCUGACUUUUUUAGCCUUGGAAACCCUUGUUUCAGGGGUAUGGUCGUCACUGUGUGAUGAUACAGGGGCAAGCUUUUUGCUAAAACUUUUCUUAAAUGCCCCCUUAACUCUUCUGAAGACCUUUUUCUUGCCCUUUUUCUGAGCUUCUUCACUUUCAGUGUACUCUUCUUCAGUCUCGUGUGACCGAGACAAACUUGAAGAGAGUGUUAUGGAAGACUGAGACCACUGAUCCUCCUCUGUGGCCCCCUUCUCUUUAGGUGUGCUCCGUGGUGAAGAUGAUUCACAGCUUUUCAAGGUCCGCUUGAGUUUCCUGACUUUUUUAGCCUUGGAAACCCUUGUUUCAGAUAUGUUAACUUCCACAAGAUCCUUAAAAUACUCA
rnacentral:lncRNA from 1 species